rnacentral:rRNA from 1 species
UACAGAGGUCUCAACCGUUGUUCGGAUUUAUUGGGCGUAAAGGGUGCGUAGGCGGCGGGGUAAGUCAGGUGUGAAAUCUCGGGGCUCAACCCCGAAACUGCACUUGAUACUGCCUUGCUUGAGUACUGGAGAGGAGACUGGAAUUUACGGUGUAGCGGUGAAAUGCGUAGAUAUCGUAAGGAAGACCAGUGGCGAAGGCGGGUCUCUGGACAGUUCCUGACGCUGAGGCACGAAGGCCAGGGGAGCAAACGGG